CUGCUUGUGCUGGGGUGAGGUAGUAAGUUGUAUUGUUGUGGGGUAAGGAUUUUAGGCCCCAAUAAGAAGAUAACUAUACGACUUACUACUUUCCCUGGUGUGUGGCAU
rnacentral:pre_miRNA from 1 species